UACCAGCUCUCCGAGUGGUAGGGAUGAUUAUUGGGCUUAAAGCGUCCGUAGCCGGCUUAGCAAGUCUCCUGCUAAAUUCAGCGACCUAAUCGUUGAGCCGCGGGAGACACUACUAGGCUAGGAGGCGGGAGGGGCCGACGGUAUUCUCGGGGUAGGGGUGAAAUCCUAUAAUCCCGGGAGGACCACCAGUGGCGAAGGCUGUCGGCUAGAACGCGCUCGACGGUGAGGGACGAAAGCUGGGGGAGCGAACCGGAUUAGAUACCCGGGUAGUCCCAGCUGUAAACGAUGCAGGCUAGGUGUUUGGGCGGCCACGAGCCGCUCUAGUGCCGCAGGGAAGCUGUUAAGCCUGCCGCCUGGGGAGUACGGCCGCAAGGCUGAAACUUAAAGGAAUUGGGCGGGGAGCACCACGAAGGGGUGAAGCUUGCGGUUU
rnacentral:rRNA from 1 species